GCCGGAAGUACGGCUCCGGCCGAUUCCUCUGGCCGUGCCUCCCGUUCUGUGAGUGGCUGCAUGCCUGCUCCCCUGAAGGGGCAGCGGUGCGCCGGUGUGUGCGGUCCCUGCCAGUCAUUUGGAGAAAGGACUGCAGCCCCGGCUGCGGCGCCGACACCAGGCCCUGCAUGCAGGACGCUCCCGCUUCUCUGCGGAGCCUAAGAAAACCUUCCAUUUGGUGCUGAAACCUGGGAGGAGUUGUCUGCUGUGAACACCAGUCCUCUCCCUAUUCCCUGAGGAGCCCUUGCGGCCACCCCACCAGUCCGGACAAAGAACCAGGGUAAGUGCCGUUGCCCUUAAGUUUCUGGUCCCCGAACACUGAUUGCGGCCCCUGUGUUCUGGGAGAGACUGCCCUCCACCAAAUCGCGGUGCUGCGUCGGGAUAACCCUUCUGGGAGAGUCUGCUUUCCAUCCGCUGGGAGGCUCUAGGCACCAGAGGAGACGUCCCUGGGCCUAGGUCCCCAUUUUUACCAGACCAGAUCAGCAGAUUGGGUUGAGGGACGCUGAUUUCCGUCUGCCGCUCCUCGUGGGACCAGGAAUGGGGGGGCAGGCGUCCAAACCAGACCCUAAGUCACCUCUUGUGUGCCUCCUGAAAAUUUUGCCAACAAUUGAUCCUGGUUUCAAGCAAAAACGGCUGAUUUUUCUAUCCACUACUGCCUGGCCAUUAUAUCAGCUCGAUAAUCGUGAAACCUGGCCUCCUAAAGGCACUUUCGAUUUCAUUGCCCUCACUGACCUAGAUAGUUUUUGCAGAUGGACUGGCAAAUGGUCUGAGGUCCCCUACAUUCAGGGCUUUGGGGCCUUGCGCUCUCCUGUCCGGGUCUGUGCACCCAAUGCUCCACAGCCCAAGUUCUCCUCAUCCGAGGGAACCCUGAACACACCCAGUCUCCUAAGCCUACUGCCCCAGAACCUCCCUCCUCUGAUUCCCCUGAAGAUCUUGCUUCUCCUCCUCCUCCUCAUCAGCUCCCGCCAAUGGCUACUUCAGCCCUGGCCCUACCCUCUCAACCGGAUUAUCCCCCUCCCUCUAAAGACCUUUCUUCCCCAGUUAGCUCAUAUACUCGCUCCCAUCUGAAUCUAGAGCCCCUAGACUCCUGUAUUUGCCCCCUCUGGGAAGUGGCGGGAGCAGAAGGUGUCGUUCGGGUCCGUGUUUUUUUUUUUUUUUUUCCAUUAACUGACCUCUCUUCAGUUGAAAAACGCCUAGGCUCGUUCUCCACUAACCCUACCAAUUUUAUCAGGGACUUCCAGUACCUAGUCCAGGCUUGUGGCCUCACACGGCAUGACCUGCACAUCAUUUUAACUUCCACCAUGACCCCAGAUGAGUGCGACCAUAUCCAGACUGCAGCUAGGGCUCAUGCAGACCAAACCCACACCACCAAUCCCUUCAUGCCAAUAGGGGCUAAAGCCAUGCCAGAGGUGGAACCAGACUGGGACUACCAGGUAGGACAGGUGGGUCGGAGGCGCUGCGACCAAAUGGUCGAGUGCCUGAUAGCAGGUGUGCACCAGUCUGCCCGGAAAGCAGUCAAUUACGAUAAGCUCAGAGAGGUCACCCAAGGCCCUGAGAAAAUCCGGCGCUGUUUCUCAACAGACUAACUGAGGCAAUGGUGCUCCAUACCCACCUUGACCCGCUUCUAACGCUGGGGCCACUGUCUUAGCUGCUCACUUUAUCUCCCAGUCGCCCCCAGACAUUAGAAGGAAACUGAAAAAGGCCGAGGAUGGCCCCCCAACCCCCAUCCGAGAUCUGGUAAAUAUGGCAUUUAAGGUUUUCAAUAACCGGGAAGCAGAGGCUGAGGCUGCCUGCCAGGCUCGCCUACAGCAAAAGGUAGCCCUGCAAACCCAAGCGAUGCUAGCUGCCCUUCACCUGGCGGUAAACACUGGCACAGGGGCGAAGCUUAAGUCCAGGCCAAAGAACACCCCACUGGGGGCUUGUUUCAAGUGUGGCAAAGAAGGGCACUGGGCCCGCCAGUGUCCUCAGCCACCAGCGAAGCCUUGCUCCGAUUGCCGACAGCUGGGCCCCUGGAGGGAUGCCUGUCCCCCUAGAGGCUCACCCCCGGCGCCUCCACGUGGGGGACCAGCCGAUCAAGGUGUGGACUCUUCCUGGCCGUGCCGGAACUUUUUGGACUCCUAGGCGAUUGAAGUGGCCUGGACUUGAAGACCCCCAUCACCCUCACCGAGCCCAGAUCUCGGUCAUGGGGCUUGACGGGACUCCGUCUCGCCCGUGGUGAACCCUCCCGGCUUAACUGCAGUCUGGAUGGCUUUCCCUUUUCCCAUUCAUUCCUUGUCAUACGCUGCUGCCCUAUUCCACUUCUAGGACUGGGUGUUCUCCAAUUAUUAGGCGCCACUCUUCAGAUCACGCAAAACCCAACCCCUUCCUCCUCCCUUAUCCUCCCACUGUUAGAAAAUCCAAUUCCUUCUUCAGCUCCACCCAUUUUCCCUUCCCUUGUCAACCUACAAGUAUUGGACACUUCUAUCCCAACCGAGGCUUCUCAUCAACCCCCAGUUGUCAUCCAUCUAAAAUGCCGCGGUGGUUUGCCGUCCCAACCCCAAUUUCCUAUCUCCCACACAGACUUAGAAGGAUUACAGCCUAUCAUCACCCACCUCACCUCCUAGACCAGAAACGGCCGACCUCUAGUCCCUCCCCUGACAGCAGGAAGUAGCCAGAUUGAACACGGAGCCCCUUAUCCUAUCAAAGAGGUCAGAAUGUUAGGAUGGGCAGGGUAGGGUAAAACUACAGCUGAACUACAACCUGGAAAAGACAGCUGACAUCAAACCAGAGAGCUGAAAGGGUGGGCUUUAUAGGAGAACCGCCAAUGAUAUAUUGCUGCUUUGUUCAAAGGGGGCCAAUCCCCAGCUCCCACAAAGAGAGUCAACCAAAAUAAAACCCCCACUACGUUUCCCUGCUUGGGCGCGACUUCCCUGACCCCACUCUGCAGACCGGGGAACCUUGCCUGGACUCGCAAACCCCAAUAAAGUUCUAUACUGCCUAAGUUUGUGUCUGAUUGGCAGGUCUUCUCGGUGGAACCUAAGAAAACCUUUCAGGAUUCAGGAGGGAACCUGAGAAAGUUCCACAGGAACCCCUGGUUGGUUCUUGUCUGUGCCCUGACGGGGGACCGAACCCACAACCGGGACGAUGCUCCAACCAACCUAGCCGCGGGCCAGGGCAAGUCAGAGAGUUUGGACCGACGCAUGUGGUUGCAUAACCACAGACACACUGAGGUACAGAGCAGAGCGGCCACCGUGCCCCCCAAUCUCCUCUUGUCACUGCUUAGGUCAGCCUCUCCCCACCCCACCUGGUGGCCCUGAUCUGUUCUUGUCCCCACAGCUCUGCCUUUUCCGGAGUGUCAUUUGAAUGACACUGUCCUGCACGGGCUCUCAAGGAGGGUGAGCUAUGCAUACAUAUUUGUGUGCGUGCCCACGUGUGUGAGGGUGUACAUACGUGUACCUGGGCGUGCAUGGGAACGUGUGCUGUGUGCGUAUACCGGCAGGUAGCGGGCAGCCCAGGGAUUUGGGGCCCCGCCGCGCCCCGCCCCUGUGGCUCCCUGCGGCCACGCCUCCUCGCUCCGAGUCCCGCCCGUGAUCCCAGCGUGUCCCACUGCCUUCGUUCUUCCUGGGUGUUGUUUUUUGGUUUUCUGUGGGCCACAGUAUUUUUCAAAACGUUUUAAUUGUGGUAAAAUAAAUAUACAAUCUGCCAUUCUAACCGCUUCUGAGUGUCCAGUUCAGGGACAUCAAGCGCAUUCACACUGUUGUGUGACUGUCAUCACCGUCCCUCUCCAGGACUUUCUGCCUUCCCCACUGGGCCUCUGUCCCAAGGAAACACCCCACCCACCCCCGGACCCUGGCCCCUGGCCCCGCCCUCUGCCUCCCUUCUCUGUGACUGUGACCCCUCCAUGCCCUCCCACGAGAGGGGCCACGAAGGCUGUGUCCUACUGUGUCUGGUUUAUGUCCCUCAGCCCAAUGUCCUCGAGACUCAUCCACAUCAUAGCAGGAGGCAGCGUUUUCUUCCUUUUCAAGGCUGAGGAACCGUCACCAUCGGGACGGGCAGGGCACGAUGGGGCACUGGAGGAGGCCAGCAGGCCUGGUUCUGUUGACUCCUGUGCCACAGAAGCACUCGGCUGGUGCCCUGUGGCAUCUGCCCUGGGGCCUCCACGUGCCUGUUGUCCCGGACGCUCCAGCUCCUGCACCCGGCCGGACAGACCAGGCCUUGCAGGGCAGGCUCCUCCCCAGUCAGCUGGCUCUCAGUGCAGCCUGCUGUGAGGCAGGGCCUCAGGGGCAGGGUCACUCGGAGGGCACAGCUUCUGCCCCCAGCAUCUGCCCGUCUCCCUGGAAAUCAGGCUUGGCUCCGGCACCGUCCCCCAAGUGUCUGGCACAGGCUGCCUGCCUCUUCUCUCCUGCAUAUGAAUGGCUGUCUCCCUGCCCUCGAGGUGCCCACACCCUGCUUUCUCCCCCGUGUGUAUCUGGUUUUCCUUGGCAGACUCGGGCCACGUCCCCGAAGCCUGCGCCCGGAGGGGGGAGGUAGAGUGGCUGAAGUCAGAGGCACGGACUCGGGCAUAUGACUUAAACUCAUUACACCCGAAGAGCCCUCGGCCCCUGGAACUCGUCUGGGCCAGGCUUGUAAUCUCGUUGGGCUGUGGGAUAAUUUGCUCAGCUGUGCUGCUCAGCUCAAGGUUAAUUCAAUUGGACUUGGGUUACGCAUCUGUGCCUGGGUUUGCCAAGUGUCCUUGGCGGUACAUGAGGUCUUCAUUACAGCGGCGAGAUGGCUUCAUUAUAGUGAUGGCCACUCCUGCUGGACCCUCCCCUUCUGUCCUCCGCCCACCUCUGGGCCCUCCUGCCUCAGAGGGAUGGUGGCCUGAAGUCCAGGCCCCAACUGAGCUGCCUAGACCAUUACGAGGCUGGCCGCGUGGCUCCCCAUGGGGUAACCAGGGCCCACAUGCUGAGCGACUGCAAUCCGCUGGCCUGCCGCCUGGGGUCUGUCCUCUCCAGGCUGCUCCUGGGGCUGGCAGCUGGGUUUGAGGGAGGGGCCCACUUCCCUGGAGGAACGUCCCAGGGCUGCCUGCCAGGGGCGAGGACAGAGCUUCAGAGCUUCUUGAGGUGGAACUUGCAGGCAUCACUCCUGUCUGGGGCUGGCCUUGGCCUCAGGGUGGGGCAGUAGACCCUGUCCAGCAGUGGGGAGGAACCCUGUGGCCAUCCAGGAAGGCAGUUUGCCACCAGAGUCCCAGCCGUCCAGCAUGCACACUCACGGGGCAGGAGGCCCCACGGGCUGGGGACCAGUGGGAGCAGGAGGGGACGCAGGAAGGUGGGUCUGAGACAACGGGCUCGGAGGACUGGAGCGACUUAGACUUAGGGGACCCACGGGGGUCCUGAGAGCCGCCAGCGGGAAUCAGGGGGCACAAAUCACAGGAGGGACAAGGCGGGGACAAACAGCAGGGGGGCUCCAGGCAGCACCACCCCCGGCUCCAUGCCCUCCAGCCGCAGCAGCCCCCUGAGACACCACCACUCCUGGCGCGUAGCUCACCGUCCUCCUGAGGGGCCUCCUGCCGAACUGCCGCCCUGCCUGGCUCCCUUUUCCUUUGGGCAUCAGCCAAACCUGGUUCCCCUAGGGCACAGGCGGCAAUCACAAGGCCCUCAGGCCAAAUCCGGCCCUCCACCUUGUUUUAUCCUGCCUGGCACCUUAUUCCUACCAGCGGCAGCGCCGAGUAGCUCUCAUUUAACUGUUAAGGAGUAGUUACAUUUACACAGUCCUGACGUUACCUUCAGCCCUUUGAAGGCGACCGCGAGGCUGAUGUGGCCCCGGUGAAACUGAGUUUGACACCCCUGCCCUGAGGCCUCCUUGCUCUCAUCCCCAGGCUUCCUCAUUUGCAGGCUGAGUGGCUCCUGGUGCUCUCAGGCGUCCUCCCAUUUUGUUGCAACUUGCUGAGCCUCUCCACCACCUUGGCCUCCCUGCCUCCUUAUUACUGGAGGAGGCUGUCGGAGGGGGCAGCGAGAGGGCACAUGUCCGAGUUGGGGAGGGGUCUCGGUUCCCUGUGUCACCUGGAAAUGGGACUCGGCAGCGUUCUCGGCUGGAAAGAAGGCAGAUCUGCCAUCUGUCCCCGUGUCCCUGUCCCCGCUUUCUGGGACUGUGGAUGAGAGGUCAGCAGACUCAGAGUCUCCUCCAGGAAGUGGAGGGCACCCUGCUCUCCAGCUUCUUCCUGCGGCCACAGGGGCUGCCCGCCACCUGUGCCCUGCAUGUGGCUUCCCGUGGGUGGGGCGGGUCCCAGAGGGGCCCUCCAAGGGCCUGGGAAGAACUGUGCAGCUGCUCUAAAAAUACAUUCAUUUAAAAUGUCAUUCGCUGACCUUGAGGGCCAGAGUCGC